rnacentral:rRNA from 1 species
GACGAACGUUGGCGGCGUGCUUAAUACAUGCAAGUCCACUGAGGCAGUGGUAGCAAUAUCGCUGUGGAGGUGGCGCACGGGUGAGUAACACGUAGGUAAUAUGCCUUCAGGUCUGGCAUAACUCCGGGAAACCGGGGCUAAUAGCAGAUGAUGCAGCGGCUCGACAUCGAGACAGUUGUUAAAGCUAUGGCGCCUGAAGAUGAGCCUGCGUCUGAUUAGCUAGUUGGCGGGGUAACGGCCCACCAAGGCAACGAUCAGUAGCUGGUCUGAGAGGAUGAUCAGCCACACUGGAACUGAGACACGGUCCAGACUCCUACGGGAGGCAGCAGUAAGGAAUAUUGCUCAAUGGGAGAAAUCCUGAAGCAGCAACGCCGCGUGAGGGACGAAGGGCUUUUGCUUGUAAACCUCUGUAGUGAGAGAAAAAAAUCCCAAUCUUUGGGACAUGAUGGUAGCUCAAAAGUAAGCCCCGGCUAACUACGUG